rnacentral:rRNA from 1 species
CCUACGGGUGGCUGCAGUGAGGAAUAUUGGUCAAUGGGCGCGAGCCUGAACCAGCCAAGUAGCGUGAAGGAUGACUGCCCUACGGGUUGUAAACUUCUUUUCUAAUGGAAUACAGUGAGGCACGUGUGACUUUUUGUAUGUACUUUAUGAAUAAGGCUCGGCUAACUCCGUGCCAGCAGCCGCGGUAAUACGGAGGAUCCGAGCGUUAUCCGGAUUUCUUGGGUUUAAAGGGAGCGUAGAUGGGUUGUUAAGUCAGUUGUGAAAGUUUGCGGCUCAACCGUAAAAUUGCAAUUGAUACUGGCAGUCUUGAGUACAGUUGAGGUAGGCGGAAUUCGUGGUGUAGCGGUGAAAUGCUUAGAUAUCACGAAGAACACCGAUUGCGAAGGCAGCUUACUAAACUGCCACUGACAUUGAUGCUCGAAAGUGUGGGUAUCAAACAGGAUUAGAUACCCCAGUAGUC